UACCCCUGCAUUGAACCAUAUAGAUGCAAAGGAUUUUUAGUUAGACCCGAAGUCUUCAAACCAACAGUUGUUAGCUCUCUCAAACAAAAAAAAGAAUAGACAGUUUUUUCUUCAAUUCAAGUGUGAAUUACAGCAAAGUUAAAAAAUGAGUGAAGUCCGCAGCUUGAUGUCCACUUUUGCCAUUUUGGCUGUGCUAUUAAUUCUUCUCUGGCUGUUGUAUGCCAUCUUUUAAGCUGGAAAUCAAACAAAACAAUAACAACAAGGAUAUGGCGUGUCUAGUCUAAGGUAAAGCUUUAAAUUCAAUCAAUCAACAACAAAAACCAAAACAACAACAACAGCAACAGCAUGAAUGAAGCCAAGAGUUUGUUCACCACUUUCCUCAUCCUGGUCUUCUUGUUGGGCCUGCUGUGGGCUUUCUAUGAAGCCGUUUUCUAAAUCAACAGCAAAUUACUAUUAACAACAACAAUAAUAGCAGCAACUAGACAUGAUUUUCAUAUAAUUAAUUAUAUUUUUUUCGUUACCCACACGUUAACACACACACACACACAUACACACAUAUCCUGUGUAUGUUGGGUACGAGCAUUUUUUCGUUUAUUUUUUUUUAUUUAACACCAUCAAAUUCAUGGGUAAUAGUUUGGAAAAAAAACAACCUCGUUAUCAUCGUGUAAUCUGGCAACGACAACAACACCAUCUUACAUAAUAGAAUUAAUACGCGUAAAAGCAUUUCCAACAUAACAUUAAAAUUCGUAAAAUAAGGACAAAAAAGUAAACUAUUGAAUAUGGAGUUCGUUUAGUUCGAAAAUGAGAUGACGUCAAACGCUUUGGCAAAUAUGCGCAGUUCAACGUAGCAGCAGCGUCAAGCUGUGUCGCCAGCAAGUCAAAGGAAUUCUGCGCCUCAACACAUUCGCAACACUCUGGCAACUCUGUGCGCUGUGAUUUGCUGUAGCAAGCGCCGUUUGUGCUGCGGAAAAUAUCAGCUGUCAAGAACGAUCCAUCAACU